rnacentral:rRNA from 1 species
CAAAGAUUAAGCCAUGCAAGUCUAAGAAUGCUGAUUCAUAUUCAGUAAUCUGCGAACGGCUCCGUAAAACAGUUAUAGUUUGCUUGAUGAUUGGGAGCAAUCCCUAAAUGGAUAAUCUCGGGAAUUCUGAGAAUAAUACAUGCAAAAAGAAGAAUUCGUAAGAGUUCUGCAUCUACAACUUGGUGAUUCAAGGUAGAGAAUUGGCAUAUCAGUGGGCGACUACUGAAGUAACAAGAAAGUUUCUGACCUAUCAACUUUGGAUGGCAGUGUAUUGUACUGCCAUGGUUAUCACGGGUGACAGAGAAUUAGGGUUCGAUUCUGGAGAGGGAGCAUGAGAGACGGCUACCAGUUCUAAGGAGGGCAGCAGGCGCGAAACUUACCCAAUGCUAAUACAGUGAGGUAGUGACAAGAAAUAACAAUACGAAGUAACAUAAGUUAUGACGUCAUUGGAAUGAUUCGGAUUUAGUAUGAACUUGAAGAGCAGCAACGUGGAGGGCAAGUCUGGUGCCAGCAGCCGCGGUAAUUCCAGCUCCACUAGCGUAUGUUUUUAGUGUUGCAGUUAAAAAGCUCGUAGUUGGAUUUUGAUGGGGUUGUGAGAUUGUUAGACCGGGUAGUAAUACUUGUGUUGGUCUCCACUCAUUGUAUAUUGAACAGGGUAAAACUUGUUCAUCAAUUACUGUGAAUAAAAUCGAGUGUUUAAAGCAGACCAUUUGGUCAUUGUCGAUUAUUAGCAUGGGAUAAUGGAAUAGGACUUGGGGGAGUAAGUAAAGGGGAAACUCUUUAUUUAUUCUUUUUCCUGAGUAAUGAUUAAAAGGGAUGGUUUGGGUAAUCAGUAUUUUAUGGGGAGGGGUGAAAUCCUUUGAUCCAUAAAAGACUAACUGAUGCGAAAGCGUUUUACAAGGACAUUUUCAUUAAUCAAGAACUAAAGUUAAGGGAGCGAAGAUGAUUAGAUACCAUUGUAGUCUUAACCAUAAACGAUGUCGGCCGAGGAUUGGGAGAAAGGGAGAGAUGAUUUAGGGAAAGAGGAGGUGAUGGCUAAAACCAUUGCUUUACUCGCCUUGAAUUGCUCUUCUUUCUCGACGAUUAUUCAAGGGGAAACCCUUGAGAUUAUGUCUCUCUCUGUACUCUUUUGGGAAACCAUUGAGCUUUUGGAUUCUGGGGGGAGUACGGUCGCAAGGCUGAAACUUAAAGGAAUUGACGGAAGGGCACCACCAGGAGUGGAGCUUGCGGUUCAAUUCGACUCAACGCGGGAAAACUUACCCGGCCAGGACACAAGAAUGAUUGACAGGUUGAUUAAGUCCUUUCUUGAUUUUGUGGGUGGUGGUGCAUGGCCGUUUUCAGUUGGUGGAGUGAUCUGUCUGCUUAAUUGCGAUAACGAACGAGACCUUAACCUAUUAAAUAAGUUGAAUAAAUAAGAAUGGUCAUUCCAAACAAGGUUUGGGUGGUGGAAGAACUGGGUGGAGGAGCAAUUCUUCAUUUUUGUUCUCUGCUUUUACUCUGCUUUGGAUCAAGUUUAUUUAUUAAAUAAACAACUUCUUAGAGGGACUACCAACAUUUUUUUAUAAAUCAAGUUGGUUGGAAGUUUGAGGCUAGAACAGGUCUGUGAUGCCCUUAGAUGUUCGGGGCCACACGCGAGCUACAAUGAUGGCAAGAAAGAGUUUUUGGAUAUUGUUUCAAGAGUAAGGGUAAAACUUUAUUUUUGAACAAGCCUCCCUUGGUAGAAGUACCUGGGUAAUCUUUUAAAGUGCCAUCGUGAUGGGGAUAGAGAAUUGUAAUUAUUUCUCUUGAACGAGGAAUUCCUUGUAAUGGUGGUUCAUCAGAUCACCAUGAAUACGUCCCUGCCCUUUGUACACACCGCCCGUCGCUUCUACCGAUUGAAUAAUCCGAUGAGAAUUUUGGAUUCCCCAUGAUAAGUGGUAAAACAUGAUCUCAUGGUUUGGGAUGAAUAAUCCCAGGAGGGGUGGGCAACUAUCUCUCCGGAAGAAGUCAUUCAUGUCUUAUUAUUUAGAGGAAGAAGAAGUCGUAACAAGGUAACCGUAGGUGAACCUGCAGAAGGAUCA